CAUCAGAACUCCGAAGUUAAGCGUGCUUGGGCAAAAGUAGUAUUAGNAUGGGUGACCCCUUGGAAAGUCCUCGUGUUGCACUCCU
rnacentral:rRNA from 1 species